CAUUCGCGCGCCUCGGCGGUGACCCCAUGGCGGGCUGCCGGGUCGGAGCGGUCCCCCGCGUCCCUCCUUCCCCGCUCGGCGCUCUCUACUCCCAGCGCAGCUGCCGCCUCCCUCCGCUCUUCCCAUCUCGCCAGAGCCGCCGCACCCGGAGGCGACCGGCGUUGCUCCGUCUCGAGCUGCCCGUUCCCUUCUCUCCCCCGACGACCGGCGCAGGAGAGAGAAAGAGGAGAGGGAGGUGUGGCGGCGGACGGGAGAGGGUCGACCUCGCGGUCGGUGGCUGCUUGAUCUGAGAGAAAGAGGAGAGGGAGGUGUGGCGGCAGACGGGGGAGGGCCAACCUCGCGGUCAGUGGCGGCUAGGAUCACCGGUGCUGAUUUGCUCCUUCAUCUUCUGUUGUGCGUUUGCUCACUGUGUUUGUUCCUAGGUCGGCACCGUUGUUGUCACCGGGCAGAAUGGCCAUGGGCAGGCUCAGGAAUGAAUGUUCUAGGGUUGGAGCCGAGGGGGUUGAGCAGCAGCUGAGCUUAGGCAUGAAUUUACAGAUUCAAGAUUUUCUUACACAUGGGGCUUUGCAAGUUCAUUGUCUCACACAUCCUUUAUGUUGCAGUAUUUUGUUUGGCGGAGGUUGUCCGAUCUAGAAGUUCAGAGCGACCAAUGCAAGGAGGACCAAGAUCUGAGAUGGAUCAGUUGAGGGUCGAAUGCUUCAAUGGUUCCAGAAAGCUUCAUCCACAAUCAUGACAAAUAUUUCCAUUGAUGUCACAAAGCAUACCAAGAAUUUGAAUUGAGCUUUGCUCUCCAAGUGCAGAACAAUUUCCCACUCCCCAUCGAUGAUGAUCUUCUGGGCAGCUCUUUUAGCACCACACAAGCUAUUCCGAAAGGUCAUUAAGCUUAUUGUAGUGCCAACUUCUGUAAAGAUGCUUGUCCUGUUUACAGUAUGCUCCCUUUGACAAAUCAACAGAAGUGUACAAAUUCAUUUGAAUGGAUUCGCAAGGUAUUUUCAUUAGCAAUGCCACAAGGCAUCAGAAAGCACAAGUAACGAGAACAAUUAGUUCAGUUUGCAUACCAUAGUUUUACUCAUCCUAAAUUGUGUUAAAUUAAUCUGCUACAGUAUGAUGAUAACAGAGGGGCACUAUUUUUUUAUUGUUCCAAUUAUAUAGGGCCCUCUGCAAAGAUAUUGAUAUCAUUGGGUGUAGAUGUUUAGUUGGACAAAUAUUGUUCGUCAGUUUCUUAGUGCGUGCCUAGGUGUUUCCCCCUUUUACGUUGCUUCAUUUUUAUAGGAUUUCUUGAAAUAUAAUAACUUGCUUCAACAAUUGUAGAAUGAUCAUGGUUUCUUUGCAUUCCUAUACUUUCGUACGAUUAAAAAUUUCAUGGCUAUCCUGGUCCCGGGUAAGAAACAGACAUCAUUGGCAUUAGCCAAUGCAUUUGCGUUAAAUGCCCUCCUGGUCGUUCUUCUUUAGUGGGUGUUUGUAUUUUCCAAAAAGAAGUUGGUGCACCUCAUAGUUGUUUCGUAGCAUGACUAUUAUGUCUAGAUUUUGCUGUAUAAUACAAAACUAAGUAGUUCGCUAUAUCAGCUGGCUAUGUGUGUCGCUUCAUAGUUUAAAACUUUAGCUACAAGCCUACAAUCAUUAGUACCGUUCAGUUUAUUUUUUAUGGAAAAACAGGGUAGAGCUCUAACGACUACUCUCAGGCUAUCUACGAGAGCCAACAGCCAAGAUUAUCUUUUAAGUAGAUCCCGUAUCUUUGAACAACGGAUUCUGAUUCUGUUAGAGAUGUUUCAAUGCAUUUUUUAUCAGUUGCGCUACUACAUUUUACUACUGAUUUGAGCUGCCUUAUUCCCAGAUAGUGAAUAUCUAAAUUAUUGACAUUCACUAAAAUAAAUACACAAGAGUUGUAUUAAAGGAAACCACUUAUCUUUUUAAUUAGAAAUUAGAAAUGCAGAUGCAGUUGACCAAUGUUUAGCGUCCUAACAAUGUUCAGGUUGCACAUGCAUACCAGAACACUGAGGGGUGGUCUUACAAAUGACAACUACUUUCAUGUUAGUAAUUUCUUCUGUUUGAGAUAUUCCACGACCCUGCUUUGCUAGCUCCAGUCAUUCAAUUUAUCAUUAUAUCCACCAUAUUUUUAUGCUCUGCAUUCCUAAUCUGCCGGUCACAAGAAACUGUAGUAUAAUGUUAGGUCGCACAUUCUUUUUGUUUCAUGGUUCAGUAGAGGUCUCACGGUGAGCAGCAACACUAGGUUGCAGUAUAAUGUCAGCUAAUUGCAACAUCCUGAGUUAUUUUAUCAAAGUUUUUCAUCUGGAAGCUCGAAUAUCUUUUGACUUUCAGUACACAUCUAUUCCGAUUUGGUAGAGAAGAUCAGAAGAAGCUUUUAUAUCAUAUUUUUGUGUGCUUUUUCUGUAGAAAAAUUACCAUGGGUUGAUGGUUUUGAAUCCAAUUACUAUAUGAUAUAAUUGACUGCUAUUCCUAAGAAUUGCUCCUGGACACAGUGCUCAAUCUUAUCAUGUCUCACAUACUAUUGUGCUGCCUAUCUGUAUAGUUACUCGGAUCAUUUCUACAGAUGAAAAUGUUCAUACAGAAGAAAAUUUUCAUCUGUGCUCCUGGACAUUUUUGCAAGCUUUGCUCUCCAAGUGCAGAACAAUUUCUAUCUGAACACCCAUCAUUAGUGCGACAGGUCAAGGCUUAUCUUGUGGUGUGUCGGCAGCGCGACUGUACGCCACUGUUACUAGGUUGUUUCAUUUCUACAGCAACACAGGCAAUGCUUAUGUAUUGCACAUAUUUUUAUUUCUUUUGAUUUUGCCUUGGUUGUUAUUUAUGCCUAUAGCCUCAUGUAUGGGAUCCUAUUUCAGGGCACCGUUUUCAAUGGUUAGUUGAGGUGCUUCUGGUUUUCUGAAUGAGUACAUAGAUCUUCUUUUUAAAUAGCACGGAUAGAGGACCAGAAAAGAGAUACUUUUCUUGUUGGUGCACUUGCAAGUAUAUGCGGAUCUGUACCUUAGAUUUCCUUGCCUUUGGCUGGCUGUCCUUUUCUUUUGCUAGGCCAUCAAAUUGCUUUCAACUCGAGCGGGAUUUGUUGCAACCUCCUAUUUGUGACGUGGUGCCGCCAAAGGCAGGCUGACUACAUAGUAAUUGUUAGUACUCUUUGAUGAUAGAGAAGUGAAGAUCUUGUUGUUACUGCAAACUCAGGCUAUGUUGUUGAAAAUGACAUCAGGGGACAUGUAUAUUGAACAUGUGUUGAUCCACUAAUGGCAAAUCAGCUACCAGCUGGCUAUCAAGACUUUGCUUAGGUGUUAUUAGCCGCUACAUCCUCCGCUUCAUUGAGCCUCGACCCCCCACUCUUCUGAGGUUUCGUCAGAACACGACAACUGUUCGUCACCUAAAAGGACAGGAUGACACCAAAGGAGUUAUGAUAGCAGCACUUAUAGGCAUUGAGGAAUUGGCAAAGAGAUUACGCUUCAUAGGUAUGAAGUUAGAACAACGGCUGGAACUAUGAAAGGCCGUUUCUAAUUACCUUUGUUGGAUCUGUCUUACCUACAAUGCAUGUGUGACCCUUGGAGAAGCCACUUUUUGUUUCGUCUGCAGUAUACUCCAUGUUUAGUUCCAAUGAUGCCCUAACCCUUUUGUUCCUGCUCUGAAGAAUAGGACAUGUAUAGGCUUCAGAUUUUUGUAAUCAUCUAUGUGCUAAACAUCCCUUUGUGGUCAUGUGUUCUUUAUGUAAUCAAGUAUCUAUUCAUGAUGAUAUAUAUGCCCAGCUAAUGUUUGAAAAGAUCCAUCAUCUGUAUCACCACUGCUGGAUAACCACUAUAAAUCUACUAGCAGUACCGGUCAUAUA